ACCCUGCUAGCUCAAUUGGCAGAGCGUGAGACUCUUAUGUCGGGGUAACUCUUGAGAUGUGAUCUCAAGGUUGGGGGUUCGAGACCCCCGUGGGGUG
rnacentral:tRNA from 1 species